UUGCGAUGAUGAAUAUUAUGGUGUACCAGAGAAGUCUCCUAUGACGGUAGCACAAUCCCUCUAAGAAGUUCUGAGCUU